rnacentral:rRNA from 1 species
GAUUAACGCUGGCGGCGUGCCUAACACAUGCAAGUCGAACGAGGUAGCAAUACCUAGUGGCAGACGGGUGAGUAACGCGUGGUCAACCUACCGUUGAGUGGGGGAUAACUAGCCGAAAGGUUAGCUAAUACCGCAUACGUCUCCGAGAGGCAUCUCUUGGCGAAUAAAAGGAGCAAUCCGCUCGAUGACGGGACCGCGUCCCAUUAGCUAGAUGGUGGGGUAACGCCUACCANGGCUCCGAUGGGUAGCUGGUCUGAGAGAGCGACCAGCCACACUGGGACUGAGAAACGGCCCAGACUCCUACGGGAGGCAGCAGUGAGGAAUUUUCCGCAAUGGGCGCAAGCCUGACGGAGCGACGCCGCGUGUGGGAAGAAGGCC